CCCUUAGAUGUCCUGGGCCGCACGCGUGCUACACUGACGCAUACAGCGAGCACUUUCCAGUUCCGAGAGGCUACUGGUAAUCAUCAAUAUGCGUCGUGAUGGGGAUAGAUCUUUGGAAUUCUGGAUCUUGAACGAGGAAUGCCUAGUAAUCGCAGGUCAUUAGCCUGCGAUGAUUAAGUCCCUGCCCUUUGUACACACCGCCCGUCGCUACUACCGAUUUCGAGUGGUCAGGCGAAUCUUUCGGACUGUGGGCGCCCUUGAGGUGUUCGCGGAAAGUCAGGUAAAUCUUAUCACUUAGAGGAAGUAAAAGUCGUAACA
rnacentral:rRNA from 1 species